UGAGUACGAGAUGCUACGGCAUCGAAGCAGUCUAUGUCAUACUUCCAAGAAAAGCUUGCACUGUCAUAAACAAAUAAUGCCUGUACCAUAACCGACACAGGUGGGUAGGUAGAGUAUACUAAGGGGCGCGAGAUAACUCUCUCUAAGGAACUCGGCAAAAUGACUCCGUAACUUCGGGAGAAGGAGUGCCUUAUUUUAUAAGGUUGCAAUAACAAGAUCCAAGCAACUGUUUCCCAAAAACACAGGUCUCCGCUAAGUCGUAAGACGAUGUAUGGGGGCUGACGCCUGCCCAGUGCCAGAAGGUUAAAGAAGUUGGUUAGCAUUAGCGAAGCUGAUAACUGAAGCCCUGGUGAACGGCGGCCGUAACAAUAACGGUCCUAAGGUAGCGAAAUUCCUUGUCGGGUAAGUUCCGACCCGCACGAAAGGCGUAAUGAUUUGGAUACUGUCUCGGAGAGGGGCUCGGUGAAAUAGACUUGUCUGGGAAGAUGCGGACUACCUGCACCUGGACAGAAAGACCCUAUGAAGCUUUACUGUAACUUGAGAUUGAAAUUGGACUUUAUUAGCGCAGUAUAGGUGGGAGACGUUGAAAAUAUUCUUGCGGGAAUAUUGGAGUCAUCAGUGAGAUACCACUCUUAUAAUGUUAGAUUUCUAACUUUGUAUCAUUAUCUGGUCAAAGAACAGUCUCAGGCGGGCAGUUUGACUGGGGCGGUCGCCUCCCAAACGGUAACGGAGGCGCACAAAGGUUUCCUCUGAACGUGUAGAAAUCGUAUCUAGAGUGUAAAGGCAUAAGGAAGCUUGACUGUGAGACCUACAAGUCGAGCAGGGACGAAAGUCGGUCUUAGUGAUCUGACGGUGCUGAGUGGAAAGGCCGUCACUCAACGGAUAAAAGUUACUCUAAGGAUAACAGGCUGAUCUCCCCCAAGAGUUCACAUCGACGGGGAGGUUUGGCACCUCGAUGUCGGCUCAUCGCAUCCUGGGGCGGUAGUACGUCCCAAGGGUUGGGCUGUUCGCCCAUGAAAGCGGUACGCGAGCUGGGUUCAGAACGUCGUGAGACAGUUCGGUCCAUAUCCGGUGUAGGCGUUAGAAUAUUGAGAGGAGCCUUCUUUAGUACGGGAGGACCGAGAAGGACAUACCUCUGGUGUACCAGUUAUCGUGCCAACGGUAAACGCUGGGUAGCUAUGUAUGGAGAGGAUAACCGCUGAAAGCAUCUAAGUGGGAAGCCCACCUCAAGAUAAG
rnacentral:rRNA from 1 species